AUCUACGGCCAUGCCACCCUGAACGUGCCCAAUCUUGUCUGAUCUUGGAAGCUAAGCAGGGUUGGGCCUGGUUAGUACUUGGAUAGGAGACUACCUAGGAAUACCAGGUGCUGUAGGUG
rnacentral:rRNA from 1 species